GGCCUGGCCGCGGCCUGCGGGUGUAGGCGCCUCGGCGGCCACCGCGUCCCCAGGGGGCCUCGCGGACGGGGGCGCGGGGCUGCGGGGAGGAGGCGGGCGGGCCCCUCGGGCGACACCGCGGGGCGGGCGGCGGGAAGCCCGGACUCAGCGGUUUCCUGGGCAACCGGCCUCCUCCGGCGCGGCCCGCGCGGCUCCAGGUGGCGGGAGGCGGCGGUUGGCGGGAAGGGCCGCGCGGGCCCGGGGGCGGCGCCUCAGGUAGCAGCGCCAGGUGGCGCCCGUGGGCGGCGGGGCUCCCGGGGAGGCGCCUGCUCCCGCCCACGCCGGGCCCGGCCUUCGCGAGCUUCCUUCUGGAUUCCAGCGCGAAGCCGCCGCGGAAACUCCCCGGGCGGGCAUCGGAGCUCUGGGGCGGGGCGGCCGGGCUCAGAGGGCGGGCGGGAGCAGGCGGGCGGCGAGGGCGGGCAGCAGCAGCGGGAGCAGGGGCGCCCCGGGCGCCGGGGCCGCUGGGGACGAACGCGGCGGGUCAGGCCCCGAAGCCCGGGCCGCGGUGGCCGCCUCAGGCGCCCGCUCUGGGGUGGGGGUGGGGGCAUCUUUCGGGACCGAACUCGCCGCAGCCUCCCUCUUUGUGCUCCUUUCCCCUGCUGCCCUUCCAGAUGCGCUCUUUCCAGAAAGGCAGCACACGCAUGUCUCUGCCGUGGCCCCAGAUCCUCCCCGCGCCGCCGUUUUGAGCGUUCACACUCAUUACCCAGGUCCGUCUGGGAGACCCGCCGGGCUCCCGCCCUCCCGGCCCGCAGCCUCCUGGCCAAAAUCCUCCCGGGACACCCCACCUGGACUGCUGCGAACGGGCCUCCACCCGCCUCCCCGGACCCGCAGCGCCCCCCGCUCCCUCAGGGUUCUGGGGUGAAGGGGUCUGAAUAGCACCAGGGGAGGCGGCAGGGCGGGCCUGUCCUACCUGCGCCCGAGCACUGCUGAGACGACAUCCCUUCCAGCGCCGCCACGUAGUCCAGCCCCAGCCAGCCGCGGUAGGUGGUUUUCUCUCCGACAGGCACCGCCCGGACGGUGGCAUCCUUGAAAAGCAGGUCUUGGCCAUGAUAGUUGGAGGAGUCGAACAUUUUGAACCCGUUCUUAUUGUGGUCGUCUCCAAACAGGUCCUGGAAGCACCGCAGGCAGACGACCUGCUCCUCACUGGGCUCAGGCAGGGUCACCCGCCCAGUGCCGCUAGCUGCAAAUUGCUUUACAUACAGUGACCCAAAGAGCAAGUCAUUUCAGGGCCCCACCACUCUGAUUGGAAGUCAUAAGCUUGACAACUGAUUGGCCUCUGUCACCCAAGCGGGUGUGGGGACACUAGGCCCGCAGGUGCCACUGGAAGAGGCGUUCAGAAGCACUGCGGUGCUCCAGCUCCUGGAUGCAGGUCUGAGGCCUGAGAUGUCCAGGAAGAAAGACCCAGAAAUGAGGGAUGGUGUGGGUGGGAUUCCUGAGCGUUCUGCUAGGCCUGCUGAGCACUUCUUGGCCUUUUCCAUAAGGCUUUCUCACUCUGUCUUACAGAUAUCUCCCCACAAACCUAAACAAUUUCGAGAGGGACUUGUGUUCUGCAACCAGUCACAGAAUAUCAGGUGAGCUGGGCGUGUCUUCACUGACCCACCCGCCCAGGGAUGCUGCACUCCUCUCCACCCUGCUCAGAAUCACUAGAAUGACCGUUCUGUGGCUACAGCCCUAAAAGAGCUACUAAAAAGACCAGAAGUAGUAUGAGAACUUAUGAAUACGAAUAUAAAUAAAGGACAUCUGGAGAACAUGCAUGAAUGUCUAUGUAAAGUGUUAAGUACUGAUCAAGGAGGAACGAAGGAGUCAGGUGGCUCUCAGUCUUUUUGGAGGGACUCGCAGAUCCUCCUGAAGAUCUGAUGAAAGCUGUCAGCCUUCUCCCCAGAAAAAUGCACAUCCACCCAGGAUUCUUCUCCCACAUUACUUCAGAGGACUUAGCAACCCCCUAGGGAAGCCCAGGGACCCAGAGUAAAGCACUCCUGGGAUAGAGGGGUUCUGUGGGGAAGAUGACAGGAAGGAACAUGCGUCAGUUCACAAUGUCAAAGUUUAGGAACAGGCCUGGCGAGCCAGCCAGCUCUGCAGUUCUGUGGUGCUGGUGGGUGUGGAGAAGGCAAUUUCAGCAUAAGUCGGGGGAGGGGGAGUGGUUAGAAACCAGUGGCUCCAUUGUGAGACAACCUGGGUUUAAAUUCUAGGUAUAUUUUGAAAGCACAACCAAUGGGAUCUGCUGAUAGAUUGGCUGUAGAGCACGAGAGGAAGACCGGAGUCAAAAAUGACUCCCGAGGAAAUGGAAAAGCUAAAGUUGCUCUUAAUUGAAGUGGGGAAGACUGAAGGAGGGACGGGGGUCCAACUUUGGACUUGAUCCAUUUGAGAUGACUGUUAGAAACACAAGUCAAAAUGUCAAGUAUGUAGUUAAAUAUGCAAGUUUGGGACUGAUGUCUGAAGAUGUAAAUUUAGAAGCCAUCUGUAUAUAGAUGGUAUUUGAUGACAUGGGAUUGGAUGAGAUCAAGGGUAAGCUGUAGACAGGGAAGAGGGCUGAGAACUGAAUCCUAGGGCUAACAGGUCAGGGAGAUGGGGAGGAAAUCAGCAGAGAAGACUGAGGAGUGGCCAGAGAGUGAGAGGACAGCCAGGCAGGGCUGAGGACCUGGGCAUCUGCAGGGGAAGGUGUUUCCAGGAGGAGGGAGAGCUGUGGCCAGUGCCACUGAGAGGUCAAGUAAAAUGAAGACUGAGAAAUGGCCACUGGGUUUAGCAACAUGGGUCACUGUGACCUUGACAAGAACAGCUUCAGGGCCCUGGUGGGAGCCUGUCUGGGGUAGUCUCCAUCCUUAAGAGGGGCCAGAGGAGAGGACUUGCUAACUCAGUCUCCAUCCUUAAGAGAGGCCAGAGGAGAGGACUUGUUAACUCCAGAGCAGACCACUCUUUGGAGGAGUUUUGCUUCGAAAGGGAGC
rnacentral:lncRNA from 1 species